rnacentral:rRNA from 1 species
AAAUUGAAGAGUUUGAUCAUGGCUCAGAUUGAACGCUGGCGGCAGGCCUAACACAUGCAAGUCGAACGGUAACAGGAAGCAGCUUGCUGCUUUGCUGACGAGUGGCGGACGGGUGAGUAAUGUCUGGGAAACUGCCUGAUGGAGGGGGAUAACUACUGGAAACGGUGGCUAAUACCGCAUAACGUCGCAAGACCAAAGAGGGGGACCUUCGGGCCUCUUGCCAUCAGAUGUGCCCAGAUGGGAUUAGCUAGUUGGUGAGGUAACGGCUCACCAAGGCGACGAUCCCUAGCUGGUCUGAGAGGAUGGCCAGCCACACUGGAACUGAGACACGGUCCAGACUCCUACGGGAGGCAGCAGUGGGGAAUAUUGCACAAUGGGCGCAAGCCUGAUGCAGCCAUGCCGCGUGUAUGAAGAAGGCCUUCGGGUUGUAAAGUACUUUCAGCGGGGAGGAAGGUGUUGUGGUUAAUAACCGCAGCAAUUGACGUUACCCGCAGAAGAAGCACCGGCUAACUCCGUGCCAGCAGCCGCGGUAAUACGGAGGGUGCAAGCGUUAAUCGGAAUUACUGGGCGUAAAGCGCACGCAGGCGGUCUGUCAAGUCGGAUGUGAAAUCCCCGGGCUCAACCUG